UGGAUCGUUGGUAAUAUUUCCGGAAGAUGACCAUGUCACAGUUUCGCAAAAUGAAUUCACGCCUCCUCCUGAAGUGACUUGCGAUGCGCCUUCGCCGUUUCCAGUGCAUUAAAACAUUGUUUUUCAGCCGCAUCCGCGCUUCUUUCUCGAAAUGUAUAGUUUGUCUAAAGUGAUGUAUACAAACUAUAUGGUAUACGAUGACCAGCGAUACAAUCAGCCAGCGCAGUCGUCCCUCCAUACUAAAUAGCGGCAUGUUGUCUACCGGCUUGUUGUCUCCUCGCUUUGUUUACUUCCGGGAGUUCCAUUGGAAUUUUCCCGCACGUUAAUUCUGACCAAUUAAAAAGCAGUUUACGAAAUACGUUUAAUGGCACAUCUGGCCAACGAGUGAUGUAGAUGUUGUCAUUUUGGUUCGUUUCAACUGGUUCGGACCAGAGCAAUCAGUGUGGUGUGAAAAGGACCCAAAACGGCAGAAAAAUGCUACACUGUAUCAUUUGUUGCCCUUGGUCCGGACCAAAUGAACCGAACCACAGAUGUGAAAGCACCCUCAGUCCUAAGUAUUAUAAUCACACUGAGAAUAAUUCAGAACUGCAAUCCCCUGAGUGAUGAUAUUGGUUUUAGUAUUAUUUCCAAGAUAGUCUAGUUAUUGUUUAUAAGCAAUCCGAGGGGUAGGUCUACAUAACACUGACAAAACAUUCCUGCAUCAAAGCGUCCUGGGCAAACUGAAGCAUUCAAUUUCUCCGUAAAAAAGUACUGGGGAUGGUUAGCACAAUCAAUAAUGUAAAAAAAAUAAAAUCAUGUUGAGCCAUUAGUCUGUCUGCAUCCUAACGAAGCAAACCAGUGAAACGAGAAAAUCAACCUCGAGUUGAAAAUGAAAAUUGCACCUGAGAAAUGGGUGGCAUUCCCCUUUCAAAACGAUCGGCCGAACUAAUAUAGUCCUUGGAUGCUGUUUAUAAACCCCAGCUUAUGUGCCCUAUCGGCUCGGUGCGUAAAUAAGGCAAACAGAUUUGCACUUAAGAAGCUAAUACACAUGCUGAUAAUUAACUUCUAAACAUUGCUCGACGACAACAUUUUUUUUUGUUUGAGGGAAAACGUUGAACGCAUGAGUUGCAGGGCACGCCAAGGUGCCCCCGGUUUUUACCAGCUUUUGAUAACGGGUUUCCUCGGUACUGUAGCCCCGCAUCGGAUCUUGCGGGCGGCGACAGUUGCUUUCAUGGAGGAAAAGCAAGCACCGGCCAGGGAUUAAACGCACGCCACGGCGCACAGCUCUUACGAGGCAUAGACCAUCAUAUAGUGAAUUCUGUAUGAUAAAUCACGAAGUGACAAAAUGAAGCAUUUUUUAAGAAGACAACUCAUUAUUCCAUCACGCUUUUAUGAAGCCAAAUUAUAGUCGGAAGCCCCUCGCGAAAAGUAAGGAAGAUAUACAAAAAGACAAGGCUAUUCAAACAACGAAACAUAAGCUACCAUUGGCAACUCACACCGCUCGCCCUGUUUCUCAGAUUAUGGGAUUUAUCUUGUUGAUCUCGAUCAUACGUCGGACUGCAAAACCUGCUGCAUGGUUGUCUUAUGCAGUUUUUCGAUAUAUUUUCCCCGAAAAAGUUAAGCUUAUUUAUCGCACCAGUUAGCCUAUAUGAUUAUGGUAGCCUACCCAGAUAGCAAAUGUACAUUGAAUCAACGUUCUUUUUUAUAUCAUCUAAUGCAUUGAAUCAAUGUUUAUCUCUGACAUCAGAAUAAACUCAUUAGCGCACAUCGACUUUUGAUUGAAAUACCGUUGAUUCAAUGUUAUAUUUUGAUGUA